GAUGAACGCUGGCGGCGUGCCUAAUACAUGCAAGUCGAGCGAACAGACGAGAGUGCUUGCACUCUCUGCCGUUAGCGGCGGACGGGUGAGUAACACGUGGGUAACCUACCUAUAAGACUGGGAUAACUUCGGGAAACCGGAGCUAAUACCGGAUAAUAUUUAGCUUCGCAUGAAGCAAUAGUGAAAGACGGUUCUGCUGUCACUUAUAGAUGGACCCGCGGUGUAUUAGCUAGUUGGUGAGGUAACGGCUCACCAAGGCAACGAUACAUAGCCGACCUGAGAGGGUGAUCGGCCACCCUGGGACUGAGACACGCCCCAGACUCCUACGGGAGGCAGCAGUAGGGAAUCUUCCGCAAUGGACGAAAGUCUGACGGAGCAAUGCCGCGUGAGUGAAGAAGGUUUUCGGAUCGUAAAACUCUGUUGUAAGGGAAGAACAAGUACGUUAGUAACUGAACGUACCUUGACGGUACCUUACCAGAAAGCCACGGCUAACUACGUG
rnacentral:rRNA from 1 species